rnacentral:rRNA from 1 species
UACGUAGGGUCCGAGCGUUGUCCGGAAUUACUGGGCGUAAAGCGUGCGCAGGCGGUUUGUAAGCCAGAUGUGAAAUCCCCGGGCUCAACCUGGGAAUGGCAUUUGGGACUGCAAAGCUGGAGUGCGGCAGAGGGGACUGGAAUUCCUGGUGUAGCAGUGAAAUGCGUAGAGAUCAGGAGGAAUACCGAUGGCGAAGGCGGUCCCUGGGUUGACACUGACGCUCAUGCACGAAAGCGUGGGGAGCAAACAGG